UACGGGGGGGGCAAGCGUUGUUCGGAAUUACUGGGCGUAAAGGGCUCGUAGGCGGCCAACUAAGUCAGACGUGAAAUCCCUCGGCUUAACCGGGGAACUGCAUCUGAUACUGGAUGGCUUGAGAUUGGGAGAGGGAUGCGGAAUUCCAGGUGUAGCGGUGAAAUGCGUAGAUAUCUGGGGGAACACCGGUGGCGAAGGCGGCAUCCUGGACCAACACUGACGCUGAGGAGCGAAAGCCAGGGGAGCAAACGGG
rnacentral:rRNA from 1 species